UGGUGGAGUGAUUUGUCAGGUUAAUUCCCUAAACGAACGAGACCUUAACCUACUAAAUAGAAGUGUCUACGUCAGCUAGGCAUAUUCUUCUUAGAGGGACUAUGAAAUCUAAAUUCAUGGAAGUUUGAGGCAAUAACA
rnacentral:rRNA from 1 species